CCUACGGGGGGCAGCAGUGGGGAAUUUUGGACAAUGGGCGCAAGCCUGAUCCAGCAAUGCCGCGUGAGUGAAGAAGGCCUUCGGGUUGUAAAGCUCUUUUGUCAGGGAAGAAACGGCUGUGGCUAAUAUCCACGGCUAAUGACGGUACCUGAAGAAUAAGCACCGGCUAACUACGUGCCAGCAGCCGCGGUAAUACGUAGGGUGCAAGCGUUAAUCGGAAUUACUGGGCGUAAAGCGUGCGCAGGCGGUUUUGUAAGUCUGUCGUGAAAUCCCCGGGCUCAACCUGGGAAUUGCGAUGGAGACUGCAAGGCUAGAAUCUGGCAGAGGGGGGUAGAAUUCCACGUGUAGCAGUGAAAUGCGUAGAGAUGUGGAGGAACACCGAUGGCGAAGGCAGCCCCCUGGGUCAAGAUUGACGCUCAUGCACGAAAGCGUGGGGAGCAAACAGGAUUAGAUACCCGGGUAGUC
rnacentral:rRNA from 1 species